UGCAAAAACAGAUGGGUAACUAAGUGAUCACAACCAGAUAUAGAUUUAUUUGUUGCUUCUCCACUCCCACUGCUUCACUUUAGGCAUUUA
rnacentral:sRNA from 1 species